rnacentral:rRNA from 1 species
UGGGCAACCUGCCCCUCUCUCUGGGAUAACCCCCGGGGAAACCGGAGCUAAUACCGGAUACUCUCGGCCGAUCACAUGGCUGGCCGAGGAAAGGUCCGCCGGUCAGGGAUGGGCCCGCGGCCUAUCAGCUUGUUGGCGAGGUAACGGCUCACCAAGGCGACGACGGGUAGCUGGUCUGAGAGGACGACCAGCCACACUGGAACUGAGAUACGGUCCAGACUCCUACGGGAGGCA